ACAGGCCUGGAAAGUGACGUUUUCUGUAGAUGUCAACUUCUGUCUGGUGUGAUGCUCUGUUCUUCUGGUGAUGUCACAUGCAGCACUGAGUAAUAUUGGUAAAUGGAAGAGGUCUCUUAGAAUAAGGCAGCGGUCAGAGAGUUUGCCGUUCUAUUAAAAGAAGAGGAAAAAGUUGCUUACCGAUUGAUUUCAAGAAUGUAUCAUUUUCCAUACAUUUCUGGCUCUUCUGUUCUAAGAUCUCCGAUGUCCCCCUACAGUCUGCAGUCGCACGGCUGGUGGUGUGGCACAGACGGAGCAAGGGUUACAUCAAGGCUGUUCUCUGGACCGUGCAAACAGUCUAGACCAAUGACCUGCAGCAUCAUGCCCUUUGAAGAAGAGGCAAGUUCGGUCACGACGAAGAAAAAUCAAGGCGUACCCCUUUUAACAAUAGGGAGCAGCUCGUGGCUGCAAAGAGGUGUCUGCCUACCAGUCAGUUUUGCAGCGGGAUCAUUUGUAUCGCUUCACUAACUGCUGAUGUUGGAGAGUGGUACAGGCAGUGAAAUGUGGGUCAAUACUUGAUGGUGGUUCUAAGAAAGGACAAGAAAGUUUUCAGAUCUGAGCUCUGUUGGCUUCAGUUAUUGGAAGUGCAUACCAGAUAACCACAGAAAGCAGAAGAAUUCAGUGUUUUAUAAGAAAUUGGUUAUUUUUCAUUUAUCUGCAUUCGGUUUUGUUUAACUAUAUUUGAAUACUUUGAAUACACCAGUACCAAACUUUGAAUCUCGUUCAUCUGGAUUAAACAUAUAUAAACUAUACAUAAGCAAUUGGGAUCACUUUAUUGUUGUUAUUAUUAUUAUUUUACUCUUUUUCCUCUGAUAAUGAUGACAAAAUAUCUGGUCUUGGCAAGGAUGAGAAAACUACUUUGUACCUUAUUAUUGUGUGGCUAUCUAAUCUAUUCUCUGCAUUUAACCAAGUAUAAUAUUCCAUUGUAAGCUAAGAAAAGAACAGUCUCAGCUGUUUCAUUGAUGUUUUUGUGUUCCUUACAUUUGAACAGAUUUUCAUUAGAGUUCCAUAGGAAUCACUAGAGUUAAAUUAUGCAUGUAUCCUCAUGUAACUGUGCAGAAAAUAAUUGUCAUAGAUGGGAAAUAAACUGCUUUUAUAGCCU
rnacentral:lncRNA from 7 species